GACGAACGCUGGCGGCGUGCCUAAUACAUGCAAGUAGAACGCAGUUGCGAACGGGUGAGUAACGCGUAGGUAACUGCCUGGUAGCGGGGGAAAACGAUUGGAAACGAUAGCUAAUACCGCAUACUACCAGAUGGACCUGCGUUGUAUUAGCUAGUUGGUGGGGUAACGGCUCACCAAGGCAAACAUACAAAGCCGACCUGAGAGGGUGAUCGGGCACACUGGGGCUGGGAACACGCCCAGGCCCCUUCGGGGGGCCACAGUAGGGAAUCUUCGGCAAUUGACGGAAGUCUGAACGAGCAACGCCGCGUGGAUGAAGGAGGUUUUCGGAUCGUAAAGCCCUUUUGUUAGGGAAGCGGUAUCUAACCAGAAAGGGACGGCUAACUACGUGCCAGCAGCCGCGGUAAUUC
rnacentral:rRNA from 1 species